rnacentral:piRNA from 1 species
UGCCAACGCCUCUUUGGAAGAAAUGGC